GGGGAUGUGGCUCAGCGGUAGCGCGCUCGCCUGGCAUGCAAGCGGCCUGGGUUCGAUCCUCAGCACCA
rnacentral:tRNA from 1 species